rnacentral:rRNA from 1 species
AUUGAACGCUGGCGGCAUGCCUUACACAUGCAAGUCGAACGGUAACAGGUCUUCGGAUGCUGACGAGUGGCGAACGGGUGAGUAAUACGUCGGAACGUGCCUAGUAGUGGGGGAUAACUACUCGAAAGAGUGGCUAAUACCGCAUGAGAUCUACGGAUGAAAGCAGGGGAUCGCAAGACCUUGUGCUACUAGAGCGGCCGAUGGCAGAUUAGGUAGUUGGGGGGAUAAAAGCUUACCAAGCCGACGAUCCGUAGCUGGUCUGAGAGGACGAUCAGACACACUGGGACUGAGACACGGCCCAGACUCCUACGGGAGGCAGCAGUGGGGAAUUUUGGACAAUGGGAGAAAGCCUGAUCCAGCAAUGCCGCGUGCAGGAUGAAGGCCUUCGGGUUGUAAACUGCUUUUGUACGGAACGAAAAGCCCCGGGUUAAUACCCUGGGGUCAUGACGGUACCGUAAGAAUAAGCACCGGCUUACUACGUGCCAGCCGCCGCCGUAA